rnacentral:rRNA from 1 species
GAUGAACGCUGGCGGCGUGCCUAAUACAUGCAAGUCGAGCGAACAGACGAGGAGCUUGCUCCUUUGACGUUAGCGGCGGACGGGUGAGUAACACGUAGGUAACCGACCUAUAAGACUGGGAUAACUUCGGGAAACCGGAGCUAAUACCGGAUAAUAUUUCGAACCGCAUGGUUCGAUAGUGAAAGAUGGCUUUGCUAUCACUUAUAGAUGGACCUGCGCCGUAUUAGCUAGUUGGUAAGGUAACGGCUUACCAAGGCAACGAUACGUAGCCGACCUGAGGGGGUGAUCGGCCACACUGGAACUGAGACACGGUCCAGACUCCUACGGGAGGCAGCAGUAGGGAAUCUUCCGCAAUGGGCGAAAGCCUGACGGAGCAAAGCCGCGUGAGUGAUGAAGGUCUUCGGAUCGUAAAACUCUGUUAUUAGGGAAGAACAAAAGUGUAAGUAACUGUGCACGUCUUGACGGUACCUAAUCAGAAAGCCACGGCUAACUACGUG